rnacentral:lncRNA from 1 species
GAGGUGCUGGCCAUCGUCUAGUUUGUCUGGGCCUUUUUUUUAAUGACUAAAAGGUUUUUGGUUUUUUGUUUUUUGUUUUUUAGGAUAUAGUAAAUUCAGCUAAUAAGCCCUGCUGGGAUUCAGCUGACUCUUCACAGGCACUUUAAUCCGCAUUUCAACUUCCAUAAAGUGCCUCAGCUCAUUUUGCAUCCACAGGAAAUUUCCUUUUAAUAUUUUAGAUGAUGAGAAAACCUGCCCUCUGGAUAAUCAUAUACCGCUGAAUUUUGAAUCAUGAGACAAGUUCUCUU